GAUGAACGCUAGCGGCAGGCCUAACACAUGCCAGUCGAGGGAGGAGCUUUCGGGCUUCGACCGGCGUACGGGUGCGUAACGCGUAUACAAUCUGCCUUUCACAUAGGGAUAGCCCGAAGAAAUUUGGAUUAAUACCUAAUGGUAUAUAGGAGUGGCAUCACAUUUAUAUUAAAGCUGAGGCGGUGAAAGAUGAGUAUGCGUUCUAUUAGCUAGUUGGAGAGGUAACGGCUCCCCAAGGCGACGAUAGAUAGGGGUUCUGAGAGGGAUAUCCCCCACACUGGUACUGAGAUACGGACCAGACGCCUACGGGAGGCAGCAGUGAGGAAUAUUGGACAAUGGUCGGAAGACUGAUCCAGCCAUGCCGCGUGCAGGAAGACGGCCUUAUGGGUUGUAAACUGCUUUUGCAGGGGAAGAAUAAGGACUACGAGUAGUUUGAUGACGGUACUCUGCGAAUAAGCAUCGGCUAACUCCGUG
rnacentral:rRNA from 1 species